CUUAAAAAUUACGAAAUCACUCAUGAUUUACUUUCUUUGUUUCGGUUAUGUUGUAUUUUUUUAUUCUUCUGACACAUAUGCGAAGCUCAUGUGUUCGGAAGAAUAAAUUGAUUUGUUUGCGAUAUUUUCUAGCGCAAAAUUCCACCUAAAUAAUAGGGCAACGAGCAGUAAAAUGCAACGGUAUUCAAUAAAUAUUUACGUAGUACAAUUUGCAUCAUUUGAUGAAUAAGUUUUCAUUAUGACUGACUGACUGACUGACUGACUCGUGUGAAUUUUCGCCACUUACAAUAAUACUGCAAAGCUCCUAUGAAAACAUUACACUAAAAGUAAGGCGCUAUGAUGUAUUUAUGAUGUAUUCUUAAAUACGCGACACUCUAUCAGUAUUGAUUUGCAGUUGAUCGCUGGAAGUGAUAAAUUAAAA